UUCAUGCAAGUCAUAACCAAUUUAAGUGGAAAAUGGAAGCUUGUUAUCUUCUGUUUCUCAAGAAAACUAGGGUGCCACUCCUACAGCUGAUAAAAGUACAAGCAGAGUGGAAUGUGUAUGGCAGCCUACUCCCAGCACGUGCUUGAGGUGGGACGCCUGUCGGCAUGAGUCUGGCCAUGCCGUCGCCCAGAACUGGCCACUCACUCUUGGAGCAGCUAAAAUCCAAGAUGGGCUGAAGCACCAGCUUUGCACAAGCAAAAUUAUACAACAAGAUUAUACUUACCUUUUGAAUCUUCUCAAGCCCUGUUGGGUUUGCUCAUGCCAUUUUCUUGUCACACCGUAAUCGUGGAUGCUUUAUGUGCUACCAGUACAUGUUGGUCCAGGCCCUCUGAGAAGCAGAAGCCAAGGCAGGACUAGCUGUGCAGGAGAUUUAUUAGGGGCAACCACACCUGUCACCUGUGAGGAGGAGACAGGAAGAGACAGAGGAGAGUGGUACUGGUCAGAUCAAGAUGUAGGUCCAACCACAGGUAGAUGAGAGAGGCCAGGAAAAAGGACAGGUAGAAGAGUUUGAGACUGGGAUGGGUAUAUACAAACAUAAUGAGUGAGAUGUGCAACGUUUGAAGGG